UACAGAGGGUGCGAGCGUUGUCCGGAAUCACUGGGCGUAAAGGGCGCGUAGGCGGCUUGAUAAGGUUGCGGUGAAAGCCCGGGGCUCAACCCCGGGUCGGCCGUGGCAACUGUCGAGCUGGAGCACUGUAGAGGCAGGUGGAAUUCCGGGUGUAGCGGUGGAAUGCGUAGAUAUCCGGAGGAAUACCAAAGGCGAAGGCAGUGUCCUGGGGAGUGUCUGACGCUCAGGCGCGAAAGCUAGGGGAGCGAACAGG
rnacentral:rRNA from 1 species